CUGUAUUAUCUUCGCCGUUCAAUUUCUCUUGCUGACCAUCAGCUUCUCGUCUCUCCCUAGAGCACUUGACGUGUGCAUGUGGGAGAAGAAACAUGGCUGGUUCUUCUUUAAGGGGAUUUCUUCUGCCAAUGGUCAAGAUUGUGACAUUGUUGCUUGAGAAUGGAGCUGAUGUGAAUUCCAGGAAUUAGUGUGGGCAGGUAUGUGAUUUGGGUCUUGUUUUGAUGGUUGAUCAGUGCCAUUUCUUAAGCUAAUGCAUGGUGAUAGUUCUUUUGGUGGGAGACCAGCUCUAAUUCUUAUUUAAGAUUCUUGAAAUUGAUGGGUGUUUGAGAUGAACUGGAUUCUUGAAUUUUUAUUUUUUUUUUGGUGACGAUGCACCCAGUACUGAAGGUUUGUAGGGGUAAAACCCGUCUUCUACUCUAACUAGUAAAGGACCACUAUUAGGUAAAUUAACCGGUUUCCAUAGCAGAUGAUUCUUGAAUUGUUUUUGUCAGACAGUAUUGAUGUAAGCAUGUAGGUAUGGCUACUGGGAAGUUGUUCAAACUCUUCUACUCUUUAGAUGCAAUGUGAGUUUGCUAAGAAUUUUGAGUAAUUAAAUUCUGAUAUUUACUUAUGUGUGCUUGAAUUGUUUGUGAAGAUUGCUACAAGUAUAAAAAUCAAACUUGCAGUUUAUAAAAGAUAUGUAUUCCUUAACUAUAAAAGAAAUUGCAUAGGUUAUAUCUUUGCAUAAUUCAAUCAAUUUAUGAUUUUGCCCCUGAAUGUGAUUAAAAUAGCGGCCAAAUUUUGUCCAAAUACUAAUGUUUUGGCUUGUCCCAUCUACUGUGUAUUUUUGUUAGUCAUUGCUUAUUAAGGGGCUUGCGUGUUAGUAAUCAUGUAUGUGCGUUUUAAUGCUACAAUUCUGCAUCCAGUCUUUGUGUAUUAAGCUCUGAGCACAGAGGUGAUGCGUGUGUGCGCAAUCGUGUGUUGUUUGUUAUUUUUGGGCUCUUGCGUUGCUGCAUUUAUUUUUAUUGCCAAAGCAUAUUUCAGUGCGCAUCAACAUUGUGGGUUGUGCGAAUCAACCAUGUGGCAUGUGUGUGUCUGAAGUUGGGCGUGUGCAUUUCAUUAUGGGUGUGUGCUUUUAGGGUGUUGGGGUGCACAUUUCAGUCGGGGUUGCGUUCUGGGGAAUUUGUUGUGCUUUUUUGUCCUCUUUUCAUUUUAAGAGUUUGUUUGUAGAAUAUAUGGAUGCAGGCAUAACUAGAGGGGUAAGCACCAACUUCUUAUUUGAUUGAGGAGGGGCUAUUUUCCUUCCCAUGUGUAUUGUAGUAGGUCAAUGUGUGUAGUGAUGCAUAUCAGUUGCAACUCUGUGCAAGUGGUUGGAUUUUGGUAGUAUUUUGUGGUUCAUUGUAAAGCAUCAACUCGAGGUGCAUGUGUGCGUGUGAGGCAUAGCAUCGGUGCAA